UAAUAGAAAUAUCGAUAUUUUGAAACUAAUAUAGAAUUCAUAUUUUCCUGGUAUAGCUAUUAAUGUAUCAAUGUAAUGAUGUCAUAAGUAAUAGUAAGUAAAUGCUUUUCAAAUAUUUUCCCCGCGAUUUGUGAAGGAAGAUUUUCAUUUUGUUAGAGUAUUUUGAUUGAGCGUCUCUCUCUCUCUCUCCCUACCUCUCUCUCUCUCUCUCUCUCUCUUUCUCUCUCUUUUCUCAUUUUCCCGACGUAGAAUUUGUCGCGUAAACGAGGUUGACGGUAGAUCCCCGCUAAGCUACGGAUGUUUCCUUAGGAGGACUUAAGGAUUUGGGAGAUUUUUGAGUGCGGUUUCAGGCUGGAGAGAGGGUUGUUUUUCUUCAGGAUUUUGCCGUUGCGCCCCGUGACCUCGUGGUCCUGGAUAAAGCCAAGAAAGUCCGCGAGCGUCACUUUAAAAUUGUAACACGAAGAAUCCCAUCACCUCAGAUUCAGAUCUCCGAACUUGCUUUACUUUUGUGCGUGCACAAAGAAGCAUUUUACCUAAAUAAAUAUAAAUCAGCGCAUCGUUUUAGUAAAACGUUAUCAAUGCGAUUCGAGCUCACGUGUCGAGUUUUUAGCGGGGCUAAGAUGAGAGACAUCGGUAAUCGAAUUAUCAUCAUGUCUUGCUUCGUGUGAGCUGAGGAUCCACUGCUAAAUUGGUCUGACAGAAUUAGGAUCGGCCAACUAUUUCGAUGAAAUUGCUCGCAGUUAAGACUUUGUCUGAUGUUCACAAACAUUGACGUCGGACGUGAGACGAGAUCUUCCGCUGAUUACGGGAGCGCUCACGUGACUUCGAGAACGAUGUUGAUCUUGGGUUGCUCUUUGACGAGAUGCACAGUCGAGGGUAGCAAAAAUAUAUUACGUGCCGAUUCCUUCAUCUCAUUAUUUUUUGCGUAAAUAGGAUUCUGCGAAAUUUGAUUGCAAUUUACGGAUAGCUAAAUUACAAAUUUAUUUGACUUUUUAGCCAAAAAUUAAAUUAAGCUUGCUAAGCGGAAGACGAUAAAAAUUUGUCUAAUUUUUUCAUAUUUAUUCAAAGUUUCUUUUAUUGAAAAAACUGUCAUACAAUCUUUUAUCUGACAGUAUUGUAGAAUUAAUUGAAAAAAUUUAGUGAAAAUUCGUUCACCCGUUUUUGCGUACACCUGACGUUAACGAAUCCGUUCAAAAACUGUGCAGGCUUGAACAACUGAAUAUCCUUCUUCUUCCUUCAGAAGCAACUGCCGCUCGCGGAUCGAAUAAUAGCGCAAGAUUGGAUCAGAGAAAUGAAGGAAACGGCUCGUUUACGUCUAACUAACGUGAAAUUUCUAGAGCACUUUCAACGAAUCGACGUUCAAUAUUCUUUGAUCGCGCGCCAUUAACGGACUAGCUCGUUCAAUGCCUCAUGAGUGGAAUCGCGCUGGUAACUAAUGCGGUCCAAAAAGAAUCCGCAUGCGGCUUGAAACGACGUAAACGUAGCCUCAUCCCGGCAAACGAACCGCCGGAAUUCUACGUCUUUCGAGGUUGCAUCAAGCGUCGAGUUUUUCUAAAGAAAGAAUUUUAUAUCGAAUAUAAUAAUUCCUUACAGCCGAGAUAUCAAACCGAAUUGAAUGAAAAGUCAUAUAAAUUAUAGAAAAGGUAAUGCCAAUAGAGAGAAGAUAGCCCGAUAUAAAUUUCAUUAAUGUAGAUUAAGUUAUUACUUUUUAUAAUAAUAAUAAUAAUCCUCGCUUAAUUCCCUUGGAAUUAAAAAUAGAGAACCGAGUCAGACAGCGAGUCACCAGCUAACGCUUAGUGAAAGCAGCCACGAAUCAAAUUUUUGUACGCAGUUCAAUUAAGUGGAUAUGACAAUUAAUUUAUAUGGCAUGCUAUAGGAAACCACGUGGGAUCGCGCCUGCAUAUUCAUAGCACUUCAAAGGAGAUUACGCUACUUACGGGGGAUUACGGGAGAUAGGAGCAAAUUGUAGCGCUCCUUCGUUGAGCGCAUUCAAUGGUUGAUUAUUAAUUUCCACGCGAGGCGGCGAUAAAUUGGGUGAUAGGAUAGUUACACGAUGACGCGGAAAUUUUAUAGAUCCAAAGGGGGUGUAUAAAUGUUUUCUAAACUUGUCGACCCAGUUACACGUACCUACACAAUCGCCGGUUUGAAGCUUUCAAAAUGAUUGCCCCCAUUUCGCAUUUUGCGUGCGCGUUUCGUUCGUGCAAUACACCGUCAAUUACUUCAGCGAAAAGCACUUUAUUCAGGCUUAUGAUUCAAGAGCGCAAAUUCUAAAUUGCACGCCAAAUAAAUUAACUAUGGAUGUAACAGAGCGGCAGUUAUAACUUUUUAACUUUUUCCAUUGGAAAAGGUUAAUGCAAUUAAAUUUUUACACUGCCUUACGAAAUAAUUUUAAAGCGAUGAUGUAAAGUUUGACGACGUUUAAACAAGGGCGCUAAUUAAUCCUUCCAUUUUUACUUGUAUCAAACUCAUAUUUCUUUUACGGUUUCAAUAUACCUUGCCUUGGUUUGAACGUAAAAUGGUGGUGCAAAUAUUCGAGAUAUAGAUUACACCUAUUUAACUCUGACACGGAGAGUCGGAAUUCACUUCGGAGUCUAUAACGCCUCGUCGUCUCUUCAUCCCCGGGAAUUGCCGGGACGAUAGGCGACAGCGUCAAAAUACGCGGCCAAGAAGACACCGUUGAGUCGCGCGCGAAUCUAAAUCCUAGCUAAUAGUUUCGCCCUGGCGGCGGAACUCGCGUAAUUUAGCUUCACGGGUACGCUUGAACCCCGCGAUUGUCCCGCUCUGUCGACAGUUCCACGUUUACGCUUUCGCGCUCUCUCGUCUUCCUCGCAAAAUUUUCACCCUCGCCAUCCACCGUGCGCUGUCUCUCUCUCUCUCUCUCUCUUUCUCUCCCUCCUCCCUCUCCUACCACCCUGCGUCUUCCCUGUUUCUCCUCGUCUUUAUCGUUCCCAGUGACUCGUAUCCCCGUCUUGCGAAAGGCAAAGUGGCGCGCGGGACUCCCAACGGCAGUGUUCACUAUAUUAACACCUCCAUCCAACCUUAAUGAAUCCCUCAGUCACAGUAAGAUCGAGGAUGAGGGGAGAUUGCUCCAACCCAUACAUACUAUAUACAUUUAUACUCGCGCCUCACCGCACUAUCUCUUUCCAAGUCGUAAAUAUCCCCCGACCUUUCUUCCUUACUUCGACGUUAUAAAGUCCGCCUUUGAUUACAACGUCAUGAUAAUGACUACUUCCCUUUCGUCAACUGCGUACCUGAUACUAAAGAUUGCUAUUUUGAUACUUCCUAUUCGCAACAAACUAACGACCGUGAGAGAGAUUGCGUCGUAAAAAAUUAAAAACGUUUUAAAAAUAAAUUUUUUUACAGCACGUUUAGAGAUUGCUUUUUUUUUUACAAAAAUUAUUACACUGGCGCGAAUUGGAUUUACUGUGUUAAUAUAUUUUUAUAUAUUAAUAUAUGAAUGAAAUUACUUUCUAAUUAUUACAAUAUAAAAUUUAUUAAAAAAGAGAUCAUUGUUUUAAGGCUCUAUACUAUUAUAUGCAGCUAAAAGUUGUCAAAAGUGACCUCAAAAAUAGGCUUAAAAUCGCCCGUUUCGUGGACAUCGAAGUUUGAAUCGAUUUUGGUGGUAAAUAAUUGUACAUCAUGGAACAUCAAUCCUCUGAAAAUUUCAGAUUGAGCAUAUCUUUUAUUACUGAUUAUGAAAAAUGAAAAAUUAAAUUGGUCGCUACAUGAAGGGUAUACCAUUUUAUCCGUUCAACACAAAACUUCGAGGUUAUUUCUCAUAUAAAAAAAUGUUUCAGAUAAGAUUUGAUUAUCUGUUAGAAGACUAAUUUAUCGUGGCUUCAAAUCAACAUUUAAGUCAGAAUUGUGAAUGUCAUUUAGAGAUCAACUUACGAUUUUCAGAAAAAUGUUUUUUCACUGAUGUCGGAUACCUAUCUCUGCGGUCUGUGAACGAUGUAUAUACGGGAGUAUUUUAUUAACGUUAUUUUAUGUCAACACGGUUUUAUCUUGCCUUAUAUUUUAUAAAUCCGAUAACCUUAUAAUAAUAUUUCAAAUAUAGAUACCACCGAUUUCUGAAAUACUGCGAUAUUUACUAUGAUUUUUCUAAUAGUUUUAGUAGUGGUAGCUUUUUCACUGAGAUAUAUUACCUAUUACAUAAUUGUUAUUGAGCCACGAAAAACUGUUAACAAAAGUAGUAUUAUGUGAUUUUUUUUGAUUAAACGUAUCGUUUUCAAGUUCGUGAAUAAUAUCAACUUUAACCCUUCAUAUCUCAGCAAUAAAAGGUAUGCUCAAUUCGAAAUUUUUAGGAGAUAUACAACCAUUUAUCACCAAAAUCGUAUCAAAACUCGAUGUCCACGAAAUGGGCGAUUUUUGCGGUCACUCUUUAAAAGCCGUAAGCUUAAAUUUAUACUUUUUUUUUUUAUUAACGACAAAAAAUUUUCGUAAAUAUUCGAAUUUUGAUAAAAUCAGCUGCAAAAAAGGAAACACUGAAAAUUUUGGCUUAUACAGCGAAAAUGGAUUUUUGCUGUAAUUUUAGGUAAAUAACUUUAAUGAAUAAGUCAAGGAAUAAGUGAAUCCAAAUUUGCACGAAUAUUUAAAAUAAUAGAAUAAUCUGUGAAAUUUUUGAAUUUUUAAUAAUGUACCUUGAGACGUGACACACACAUCUGUCUGCGUCUUCGGAUUCGCCUUCUCAGUUGCGCAUUUGCAUAAGAAACGCUCUCAGCUUGUACCUUUUAAAAUCGCGCCUUUCUCACAUCGAUCCUCUCGAAGACCAACAUGAAGAUCCGCGCACAAAAGAUUUUCAAGAUUAACGUUGGUCCCUGUAAGAACAGAAUCCCCCUCCCCCUCCCUUCCGCUACGUGCAUUGCCGGGAAGGAAGGCUCGGCACUUCCGGCGUAAUGUAUGUGCCCGUCGACUCGCGUCCUUUCGGCAGAAGGCGACCCGUGGUGGGUUUAACGUACGGGUAGAACGCAAGGAGGACGAGGGGGACGGGAGGGAAGACGGUUGAUACGUACGAAACCCCGCAUGGUAGAGUGCAAGAGAGGGAAGCCCAUCUCAUACGCGUUCAGGGGACAAAUUAUUUCCCCAUUUUAUGGCCCGCUAAAAUAUAAAUCAAGUUCUAAAUUAAAUUCCUCACCCCGCACGCCUACGUGGCGAACUAUAACGAGCAUUUUAUAACGCGCGCGCGCGUGUGUGCGUGCAUCAGAUCGGAAGCGGAUGGAGGAGGCGGGAGGGAGGGGAGUUGAAAGCACAAGGGGUGCUCUCGCGCAAGGGUGUGGAUGGGAACGGAUCGCGAGGAGGGCGAAGGAGGACAGAAUGAUGGCGUAUAUAUCCCGUUGGGAGAUGUACGUGUAUCCACGUAGCGAGACUGUCGAGUGAUGCGGCUUUUUUUACCUUCCUCACGAUGUCGCCGCCACUUUUUGCGAAUUUCGCCCCAGAAUGCCAGCCGAGACGCCGCCGUCGCCGGGAGGUUCGAUUUAAAAAAAUUACUGCGCGAGACAGAACGGGCUUUUGAAGGCUCUUCCUCGCCUCUGAUCGAAUCUUUAUCGUGUCGGAAACACACGUGCAGAUUUACACGUGCACGCGUACGGUGCAUUUGCUUCUAGGGAUUUAUUUGUCGAGAAGAAAAUCGACACUUCGACUUUACGGACAGAAUAAAAAUGUAAACCUAGGGGGGAGAGAGAGAGAUUGUUUUGAUUAUUAAAUAUUUUCUAAAAUAUAAUAUGAUAACGUUCUCUUUAAAAGUAAGACUAUACUCACAGUGACCAGACGUUCUUUCCUAUAAAAGAUAAUCCUUUAUUUCAAGUAGCUGUCCUUUAUGUCUAUUUUUUUUUUAAUUCAAUUUUGUCCUUUAUUUUAAAUAAUAUGGAAAAUCUUUUCUAAUUGGUAUUCUAAUGUCUAAUAAAAUUAUUCUAACAUUAUUCAAAUUAGACCUGUGUUUUUAUUUUUUUAUAUUAAGCCUAUAUAUUCAUAUUUACAUAAAUAAAUCAUUUGUUCCAGUAUAGACGGAUCAAUUUCAAAGUAUUAGAAAAUGGUGAUGUGUAUUUCAUUUUUAUACAUUGCGAAAUUUUUUCAAACCAAGAUGUCAAAAGCCUCGCCUCUCGUGUUUCGAUGAUGUUGCGGCUAAUUUUUUUCCCGGAAGUCGCGUUCGAGGUAACCCAUUGUUUUCAAUCUUCGGUAAGUUUUUCAAUCGUGUCGACGGAGCGACAGUGAUGGAUUUACGAUUACGGUUCUUGGAAGUCGCUUUGAUCUCAAGUGUCGACGCUUGUCCGAGGCUUUUUCCCCCGUUUGUGCCACAGAGAUAAUCUCUCGCGAUGCGUGCCGGCCGGCGUCUUUUUUUCCUUCCGCGAAAUGCCGAUUUUCAAAGUGAUCAAUCAGCUACUUGACUCUCCCAUAACUUUUACCCCCACCCACUACUUCCAAGCUCCCAACGCUUCGACGAACGACUUCAGUCCCCAUCGCGAUAUUCGCGAUGACACGGGCGUGAAGGUUAUGUUUACGCUCCGCGAUCGCGCGUCUUUCCGUUCGACGAAAGAAUCGAGCAACCGAUAGUCGUUUCGGUAUAUUAUUCCGUGCGUUUUUGAGAAAUGACUACGAGAAACGUCGCGUGUGAAGUGCAUUUGGUACCUUGGGAUUUGUGUCGUUUUUCAGUCCGAGACACUCGUGCCUUGCCUGGAAGAUUUUCGGGUUCCUCGUUUCGUCGAGAUCUCAAAGGUGAUGCAUCGGUCUCUCUUCUCACCGAAAAGUACAGCGCGAUAGCCCUCGCAAGCCGUGUUUCCGCAUAUUUCCGAAUUUUCGGCAAGUGCCCUCGAGUACCGUCGGGAGACGCGACUUAUACCGAGUGAAGUGCGUCGCGUUCGACACACGGCGAGCUUCAGUUCGCUGCGCCCGUCGCUCGGCCAAGGAUGCCUCCUUCGUUCCGUCGAUAUAAAUAUUAAUUGCCGAUCUCAAAAGUGGUGCUCGCACGUGCCCCGCUCGCGUUGACGUCACGGCCGGUCUGUUUUCUCGAAUGGUGUGCCGGAGUGACCCUCGCAAGCCGCGUUUCCGCCUCCGUUAUGUUUUUUCGAAUUUCCGACAAGCGUUUCAGUCGGGACUGAAAACGUCGGUACAGGAUGUCGGACGAAAUCAUAUUAUUUGUCUUGCGAUCGUCGCGCAUCUUUCCGUCGGAAGCGAAUGUCGCGGACGACGACGAUGACCUUGGUGAGUUCGCUGAUCCGCGCAAGGUAGGAAAAAUUGGAGGAACUUUGCGUGUGUGAAAUACGCGGAAGGAUAUUCAGUGUCGUGAAGUGCGUCGCGCUCGACACACGACGCAAUUCAGUUCGCAGUGCCGUCCCGACGGGUGAUUUCGCAUUCUUCGUUUCGCCGAUACUGAGGUCUCAAAAGGCGACGUCCGAGCCUGUGUUUUAUCACAGUUUUAUCACUAUUUUCUCGGAAAAGAGAAACACUCGCGUCGAGGUGGCGUUUCUCGUUAUAAUGCACUUGCGAAUUUUCGGUAUGUAAAUAGCUCAGUUCCGUCCCGGCGAGACAAGGAAGUGCGCGAGAUCGGAGUACCCGAGUCGAAAUUCCAUGAUAUCGCGUCCUUUUAUCUUUCAAGUGAAUAUCGCUAACAAAUCAGUAUCGGGGGAGUGAAUCGAAUCGACCGACGGACAGUUGCUCCGCGUAUUUUUUGGUCCGCGCGAUCGUCUCGUAAAAUUCGCGUUGCGUCGCGAUAACCUCACCUAACCUAACCUGAUCGUCCAGUUGUUCUCGAACGACGAUGUAUGUGUCGCGCUUGUGAUAGUGCGGAUAUAUCCAAGAGUACAUGCUGUAGUGAAAAAAAGGAAAGGAACACCCGGAUGCGGACAGGAACAAGGCAACAGUGACACGUCGGCUGACGGCAGCCGCUCGCGUUAUUCGGAUGCCGCGCGUGCCUCGGAAGUUUAAUUUCGAAUCGUAUUAUAUCCGGUGCGCGCGCUACAAGCAUGAGCUACGGAGGGAGCAAGAGAGAACCAAAACGAGAAAGAGAAGGAGGUAAAGGAAGGGGAGUGGAGAUCUAAGGGGGUAUAAAAGAGACGGAGACUUCGAGAUAGAAGAGCAAAGGAAGGAAGGAAAGGGAGAGAGAGAGGACAAGGAUGCCGAGGAGAAGAGGAAGAAGCGGGGAGGCUGGAGGAUUUGCAGUCGGGCAAGCAGUCAGGCGAACAGGCAGCGAGUCGGCCAACCCCCAUCGGAGCGCCGAGAAGCGCACAAGGGUGAGUAGGAAGACGGAUAGAUCCUAGGAUCGAAGGGAAGGCAGAAGGAAGACGGAGAGAAAACGGGAAAGAGGGAGAAAGGGAGAGGAACGACCCAGACUGUGGAAACCGUUCGCCGAAGGAGCUGGAAAGGGAUAAGAGGAUCGGGGGUUGGCACGAAGAGGAGAAGGCUGUGAGAUGAGGCCGCGACUGUGCAGCGGGUACCAUCGGUGUUGCUGCACAUCUCGGGAGCGGGGGACGAGUGCGAGCGUGAAGGGAUGCACCGUGAGAGAGGAGGAAGCCCUAAGAUACUUUGAAUGACAUCUACCAUGUUCCAGUUCAGGUAUAACUCAGUGGAUCAGGCAGUUGAGAAACUCUACUGGUAAAUUUUUAAGAAUAAAUUGCAGCACAAAAAUAUUACACAUAUUAUGAUGACAUUUAUGUAAUUGUUGGGAAAUAGGAAUUGGAUAAUUAAAUUCAAAAAUUUCAAGAUUAUUAGACAUUAUUAUUAAAUUUAGUACAUAAGGUACAUCGUUUAUCGAUAUCUUCUGAUGAAUAAACAAUGUUACUAUCAGUCGAGAAUAUAUUGCGAUAGUAGAUAAAUUUAUUUAAGGAAAAUGUUACAUUAUCACAACCGAAUUCGUCUCACAAGAUCCUACCAUCGAUAAAUAAGCACUUGCAAUUUUCACGUGCUGGAAAACGUGUAGUAUCUCCGCAUUCGAUUCACCCUUUUAUCUUAAUUAAAAAGAAAUGAAUAGAAAUUAAAUGAGAAACAUAGACAUUCGACAACUUUAUAUGCCAAUUCUGCGCAAAACGCAAGUUGACGAUCUACCCCGCGAAUGCGUCUGACAAUGAGUUUAAAGAGCUGACGGUGCACGUACGCAUCCGCGUAUAAGCAUUCGCUCGCUAAGAUGAUUUCCGUAAUUUGCCCGUUAGAUCGACGAAAGGUUAAUUAACCCGAACUUCCCGAACUAGAGUCAGCGAACUCCCGGGAGAUCGGUCGAUUUGAUACCUUGACAUACGAUUAAUUAAUCACGCGCUAAUUAACUCGGGAAUGAUUAACUGCCUGGGAUUCUUUUUUUUUUUACAUACAGAAUUUACCAAGAAUCAAGUUUAUCGUACACGUGUUGUAUCCUCCAUUUUAUAAAUCACUCUCGGUAUUCCCGCUGCGCGUGGAGAUGGUUAUAUGAAGAGUCACGCGUGAAUACAUUAAAAACGUUUUUUCUACUGUAGACGCGAUCGUCAACGACGAUAAAAACUUUGUUAACGGAAAUAUAAUCUCUCGACGAUAAUUGCCACGGCGAAUUUUUCACGUGCAACUAGACGCGAAUUCCUCGGUAUCAUAAUUUCGCUAUGUUAAAACCAACCCGCGUAAUACAACAGGAAGAGAAUUAUAUAUAGCAUGUACGUUUCUGGCAAAAUUCCGCUGAUAAAAAUAUUCCAGAAAUUCAACUAAACGUUUAUUUUAACUUUAUAAAUGAAAUACGAUCGUAAAAAUUAACGGUAGCGCUGACGUGAAUAGGGAAAAUUGUAACCAAUAACAUCUGCCCUCCUCUGCCAUAACACUCACGUUCGCAACAGUUUUUAUGUUUCUGAGAAACGAUCAACAUGGAUGAAAUAUUUGCUACGGUGACCGUUAUAGCAUAAAAAGCGCAUAAAUUAUCCUAACGACUUGCGAGCGCGUGAAUGUAAAUUAUUUAAGAACUUAAUGAAAGCACCAAGCGAGGAAUUAAACUUUCCACGUUGUCACUCGGUGAAUGCAAUUUCCUUUUUCGGAAGUUGCAUCGGGCGUUGCAUGGGAGCAAUAUAAAUGGUCCUAGGCGCACGGAUCGAUAUGUGCAAAUAUUGGUAAAUUGCAUGCUUAAACGGUCUGAUUUGUUGUCCCAUAAUUUAAGGUCAUUACCAGGCACAUAAUUAUGAAACACGAUGGACUUGGGGCGAUUAAAUUAAGGUUAACGUAAUUAAACCUGUCUGCCAUCACGCUGACUUAAUCUCCUGAUCAUCAUGGGACUUUCAGAAAUAAAUUAGAUCAUUUAUUCUAAUGAGUAUACUUCGAUAAAAUCGUUAAUAAAAUAACUUGUUGUAAGAAAGCCAUUCUUCAAUUGAGUUUGUCAUAAAAGGCCUUACACAAAUUUAUAAUAUAUUGCUCAAGAUGUAAUAGCAUUAUUUAUUUAACAGUAAAAAUUAUUCGAUAUUAGUAAAAGGAUGAAGUGCACCGGCUGUGCAAGUGACAAGGCUACAUUCAAAAACUAGAAACUAAGAAAUGUCUGUCAUUUUAUUUUUAUUGUUCAUUGAAUCUUACACAAGGAUAAAAUGAUAAUACGCGGAUGUACCCGGGCAAUAUUUCUGAAUACGGCCCAGAGUUUCCAUAAUAUUCCAUAAGAUUCAAAAAUUCUAACUACUCUACUGCUCCACGGAAAAAACUCACGCAGAACUUCUCGCGACUGCAACCGUUUUGAGUGCGACGAAACAUUUUGAUGCAAUACUUGAAACGUACAAGAUACAAAAGUUGUGAAGCAGCAAACUUGGGCAAUUAAAUUUCUCGCUCUCAAGCGCGCUAUAAGAAAUUAUCUUGCGGUUGAACGACCAUAAAGAGCAGACUCCACUUAGCAUGCCCGCAGUUUCCAAGCAAUAUUUGCUGUGGCAAAACUGCAAAUUUUAAUUUGCGAGAAACGAAUCUAACGGCACAAGCAUAAGAUUUCUGUUUCCGGCUUUGAUGAUGAAAAGCCCGCACUGAAAUGAUUUACAUAUCACUCCUUUACAAUUUAUUCGCCCGUAAAAGUAAUUGCAAAACAAGCCCGAGCGAGGAAAAAAAAUACUCGUUAAUUAUCCGGCGCAUGAUGAGCGACGCAAGGAAAAAAAAAA